CCUACGGGAGGCAGCAGUGGGGAAUAUUGCACAAUGGGCGCAAGCCUGAUGCAGCAACGCCGCGUGAGGGAUGACGGCCUUCGGGUUGUAAACCUCUUUUAGCAGGGAAGAAGCGAGAGUGACGGUACCUGCAGAAAAAGCGCCGGCUAACUACGUGCCAGCAGCCGCGGUAAU
rnacentral:rRNA from 1 species